GACGAACGCUGGCGGCGUGCUUAACACAUGCAAGUCGAACGGAAAGGCCCUGCUUUUGUGGGGUGCUCGAGUGGCGAACGGGUGAGUAACACGUGAGUAACCUGCCCUUGACUUUGGGAUAACUUCAGGAAACUGGGGCUAAUACCGGAUAGGAGCUCCUGCUGCAUGGUGGGGGCUGGAAAGUUUCGGCGGUUGGGGAUGGACUCGCGGCUUAUCAGCUUGUUGGUUGGGUAGUGGCUUACCAAGGCUUUGACGGGUAGCCGGCCUGGGAGGGGCACCGGCCACAUUAGGCCUGAGAUACGGCCCAGACUCCUACGGUAGGCAGCGGUGGAGAAUAUUGCACAAUGCGCGGGAGCCUGAUGCAGUCACGCCGCGUGCGGGAUGACGGCCUUCGGGUUGUAAACCGCUUUCGCCUGUGACGAAGCGUGAGUGACGGUAAUGGGUAAAGAAGCACCGGCUAACUACGUG
rnacentral:rRNA from 1 species